rnacentral:rRNA from 1 species
AACGAACGCUGGCGGCAUGCCUAACACAUGCAAGUCGAACGAUUGCCUUCGGGUGAUAGUGGCGCACGGGUGCGUAACGCGUGGGAAUCUGCCCUUAGGUUCGGAAUAACAGCUGGAAACGGCUGCUAAUACCGGAUGAUAUCGCGAGAUCAAAGAUUUAUCGCCUGAGGAUGAGCCCGCGUUGGAUUAGGUAGGUGGUAGGGUAAAGGCCUACCAAGCCGACGAUCCAUAGCUGGUCUGAGAGGAUGAUCAGCCACACUGGGACUGAGACACGGCCCAGACUCCUACGGGAGGCAGCAGUGGGGAAUAUUGGACAAUGGGCGCAAGCCUGAUCCAGCAAUGCCGCGUGAGUGAUGAAGGCCCUAGGGUUGUAAAGCUCUUUUACCCGGGAAGAUAAUGACUGUACCGGGAGAAUAAGCCCCGGCUAACUCCGUG